rnacentral:rRNA from 1 species
GAUCAUGGCUCAGGAUGAACGCUAGCUACAGGCUUAACACAUGCAAGUCGAGGGGCAGCAUGAACUUAGCUUGCUAAGUUGAUGGCGACCGGCGCACGGGUGAGUAACACGUAUCCAACCUGCCGAUGACUCGGGGAUAGCCUUUCGAAAGAAAGAUUAAUACCCGAUGGCAUAGUUCUUCCGCAUGGUAGAACUAUUAAAGGAUUUCGGUCAUCGAUGGGGAUGCGUUCCAUUAGGUUGUUGGCGGGGUAACGGCCCACCAAGCCUUCGAUGGAUAGGGGUUCUGAGAGGAAGGUCCCCCACAUUGGAACUGAGACACGGUCCAAACUCCUACGGGAGGCAGCAGUGAGGAAUAUUGGUCAAUGGGCGAGAGCCUGAACCAGCCAAGUAGCGUGAAGGAUGACUGCCCUAUGGGUUGUAAACUUCUUUUAUAAAGGAAUAAAGUCGGGUAUGCAUACCCGUUUGCAUGUACUUUAUGAAUAAGGAUCGGCUAACUCCGUG